rnacentral:misc_RNA from 1 species
UCUCCGUUGGUGAACCAGCGGAGGGAUCAUUAUAGAGUGUAAAAACUCCCAAACCCUUUGUGAACAUACCACUGUUGCCUCGGCGGAGCUGUCGGGGGAAGCGCUACCCUGUAGCGCCUACCCUGCAGCCGCCGGCGGACCACUAAAAAUUCUGAUUACAUGAGACAUCUGAGCGUACUUUUAAAUAAGUCAAAACUUUCAACAACGGAUCUCUUGGUUCUGGCAUCGAUGAAGAACGCAGC